CAACUACUCCCUCCGUCCCAAAAUUCUUGUCUUAGAUUUGUCUAAAUACGGAUGUAUCAAGUCAAGUUUUAGUAUUAGAUACAUUCAUAUCUAGACUAAUACGUAUAAGACAAAAAUUUUGGGACGGAGGGAGUACAAG
rfam:Triticum aestivum genome assembly, contig: Triticum_aestivum_CS42_TGACv1_scaffold_378623_5AL